AAGCAUCUAUUUGACAGACCUGGAGCAGUUACUGUCUGCUCUUAAGGUUUCCUACAGAUGCAAGAGAAAAUCUCUCGCGCUUUCUGUCUGCCUGCCUGUGGCAGCCACGGUUGGAUAGGGGAGUACGGUU
rnacentral:snoRNA from 1 species